CUCUGGCCGCUGGAGCGAGCAGCAAACGUGUAGAUAGGAUCUUUGACUGCUGCACCGUUCGUGCUUCAGUUGAAUGCGGAAUCAUUUUUUUGUUGCUCGUUGCCGUCUGUAGGUGUUCUGGGCGGAUGCGUGUUCUGCUUGCGGCCCUUCAUAUUGUUAUUUUCUGGGAGUUUGAGUGACGCUCCGUCGCAAUCUGGUUGCGGAAGUGAAGCGCUUUCGUUCGUUACCUGCCCAUCGGCAGGUGGCGUUUAGAUUUGUGGGACUACCAAUCGUCCGGGUAAACGUUACCAGAAUAGCGGACGCCGGACAGGAACCACCCGGCCGUUAUCGGGAGCAGGUGCUUCUCCCUGGCUUGAAGUCAGGUAAGGUUCUCCCAUUCAGUCCCCAACAUUUCACUGAAGGUCUGCGCUGAGUUCUAGUAGUACAGCAGCCCUAACCCAUAACCAUGGUAACGAUUUACUAGAAAAGGAUUCUGCUGAUGUACAGUACUCCGUGUCGUGUGCUCACAUUUGUCCGCAUGGUAUUGUAUUGUUCAUAGUGAAGCGCAGCCACGGCAAUUCAAACGCGAAGGUAUUUUCGGCUGCUGCAAUAUCCCCUCACUCUCAAUCCUUGUGCUUUACAAGCAGAGAAAAUUAGUCGAUGAACAAUUUCGUCAAAUUCCAAAGAAAGGACUUCUUCCAAUCGGAAACGGUGACCAUUCAGCAGAAAAACAAAAAUUUCACAUGUACAUGGUUAUGGCUCAUGAGUGGACAAUUAGUUACAGGGCUGCCACACUUGGAGGGAGAAAAAUCUGACGGGGGUGCCGGGGUGUCCCCCGCUUGGGUGCAGGGGGCACGGCCCCCUUGGUGAAAAUAUUUAGGAAAAUUGUUUGCUGUUGGGGCCCCAGAACACAUUUUUAACUGUCCAGCACACGCGCUACAACCAUGUCAAUUAUGAAUAAAUGGCCAACUGGACUAAAAAGCGCUCAAGAUAUAAUAAUCGGUUGUCCCUCUUUGGGAACAAAAUCGGUCGCUUUGUCGGACAGGCGAUCAAAAAUCGGACGAUUUCCAAAAAAUCGGAGUAAGUGGCAGCCCUGAGUUAUAUUCUUUGCCAUUUUACGACUAUUGUCUCCUCGUAGGUUAUUGAAAUACUUUGAUCGAUUUCUUCGUCAUUUUAGGGGAAAAUCCCCAUUCGUGUGCCCUUUGACCAACUGAGCACAUGAUAAUGACGUAGGUGGCUGAAGUUUGAAUCGCCUCGAAAAGAGCUUUCUGCGAUAGAGGAGAGUGGAAUGGCAUUGAUGGUGGAAUUUACUCGCAUAUUGGGCUUGGGUGGACUUUGCUGUGAUCCCGCGCCUGAUUUGUGGCAGCUAGUUGAUGGAGUCCAGUAUGCUGACGUUGCUCUCGCCAGGAGCUUUCCAAAUAGCCCAAGAUUGUGGAAAUGCAGUGAAGGAGGUCAAAGUUAUAGCCUGUUGAAGGUGUAAAUUGUGCAGAAAAUUUAAAUUCUGCUUCAUUCUGUGCUGGAAAUCAGUACAUAAAGGGAUAUUUAUUUAUUUUUGCUUCGUUUUUGUUUCCCUACCAUGGCUGGCUUCCGCCCCCUCCCUCCAUAUUGGCCUACAUUCUCUGGCCACGGGAAGGUGAAAUAAAAAAACCAGAGAGCUUGGAAGCUCAGGGCCCUAGGCUAUGCUUUUUUGCCUUGAUGACCUAGACAAAAAAAGCAUAGGGAUGUUUUAAUUCUUAUAGAUUUCUACUUUUUGUUUUUAGACAUAACCUGGGAUUCGAACCCGCACUAUCGCCCUGCAUGCAUCCCCCGAUACACUUCGCACACAUACUAAUUCUUCCAAGUUGCUUCACGUUAUGAUCUUGUAGUUGAAAGCCCUAUUUGAAUAUGCAUUGUUGCCUGCCGUCUUUGAUUGUACGGUACGGUACGGGACAGGUACCGUCGAGGGUAAUACGACACCAUCUAUCGCCUUGAUGAUGGCAAAAUAAGAAUAGGGAUGUUAUAAAUUUUUCAAUUUUCCUAUUUUUUCAGGCAUUACCUGGGAUUCGAACCCGCACUAUCGCCCUACAUGCAUUCCCCAUACACUUCGCAUUCAUACUCAUUCUUCCAAGUUGCUUCACGUUAUAAUCUUGCGCUUGAAAGUCCUAUUUGAAUAGGGCGGCCAGCUGUAUGUAGCCAGCUGUGUUUGAAGGUACGGGACAGAUACGGGAUAGCGCCAGGCGUGACACAAACAAACAAACACACAAACAAACACCAAAUUAAAGCUGUGUGGACCCUGGCUAGCGCCAGACGUUACUGAAGUAACGUCUUCUGUAUAGCUACGGGAAUAAAAACUAACUGAUGCAGCAUGCCUGGUGUGUAACAAUACCAUACCAGUAAAGAAGCUGGUCAAAUAGUGAAAUUGGGCUUUCAACGCAAGGAUCAUAACGUGAAGCAAGUUGGUGGGAUGAGUAUGUAUGCGAAGUGUAUGGAAGGAAUGCAUGCAAGGAGAGAGUGCAUGUUCCAAUACCACGUUAUGUGGCCGAACAAUUGAAAAAUGAAGAAGAAGAAGAAGAAAAACGAUAAGCUAGCACCACAGCAUAAUAAUAAUUACUCCGUAAAAUGUACCGGACCUGUCAGUGUGUGUUCAGGAUCAAACCCCGUGUUAUGUAUGUAGCUGACCUGUCAGUGUGUGUUCAGGAUCAAACCCCGUGUUAUGUAUGAAAAUAAAUGAAAAAAAUUAAAAUCUAGCACCAUACACCCUAACUACUCGAUUCAGCCUCUGGGAAAUCCAGAUAAUUAAUAAUUGGUUUACAAAUCAAUUGGCUGGAAAUCCCAGUGCCCUCGGUAUGCUUUGCUUUCACGUAGGUCAUCAUGCUUGUUACUUCAGUUUCCUAAUCAUCAAUUUCUAUAAAACUGAUAGAAACGUCUUUUCAAUACGAUUAUCAAGUACAUCUUAUGUAUGUUUUUUUGCAAAGACAUUUUUAUUAGUUGGAUAGAAAUAGAGGAUUUCUUAUGGUAUGCAAGCUCCACUGCACAGCACAGCACUCCACAGCAAACGCGACGCAGCUCACCAGAUGAAAAUGUGGGUCCUCUUCCGGUGCCGAAAGGCGGGCUCACGCCCCUACAUAGCUACUUCCCAUUGUCUAACCCCCACCAAAAAAAAUUGUUAGGCUUGGUGUGGGCUGUGAAGCAUUUCCGUUGCUACCUGCUUGUUAGAAAAUUAGAAUUAUUUAUAUGCACAGCGACCAUUCUCUGGAACAUUUGGCUGACUUUCAACAUCCACCGGCGAUUGUGGCUCGCUGGCUGGAAUUUUUGUCUGAAUGUGAGUUCACCAUAUUGUACAGGGCAGGUCGAUCACACGCUAACGCUGAUGCACUCUCACGCCGCCCUGAUGCUCCGACGACGCUGUUCGUAGGGGCCGUGAAUAACGACGUUGGCAACAUCCCCACACCCCUCAUCCGUCGUUUCAACUGGCCGUGGUCAAUAUGGGAAACGGAACAGGAGAAGGACCGAGAUCUCGCCCAAGUAGUGUCCUGGCUAGGUAUGGACUCUCCAGCUUGCCCGCAGGACAUGAUGGGUAGCAGUCCCGAGUGUUUGCUUUCUGCUUGGCAUAGAUAAGACCAGAACAACUGCGUACCAUCCACAGAGUGACGGUCUGCUUGAAAGAUUUAACCAGAUGCUUGAGCGUAGCCUGGCGCACUAUGUCUGCAGGAAUCAUCGAGAUUGGGACAUCAAGUUGCCGGCCUUCUUGAUGGGAUACCGCUCGACGCCGCAGACUAGUACCGGCUACAGUCCAAGCUAUCUACUCUUUGGUCGGGAGUUUCUGCCUACCUCAAGACUUGGCAUUUAGAUUACCGCCAGGAGAAGCUUCCGCAGUAUCAGUGGUCACGGCCGGAAUUUGUGAGUGCUCUCCGCCGACGCCUGGAGGACACUCAUGCGCAGGUCCGGGAACACCUGGGCAACGUGCACCGUUAUCAAGCGCAUAUCCGUGAUCGCAACGCUAGGGCCGUGACGUUUGCAGCAGGUGACGCAGUGUGGCUUCUGAUGCCAGCUAUUCCGACGGGUUCAACCGCCAAGUUUGCUAGACUUUGGCACGGACCGUACCUUGUCGAGGAGAAGCUCUCAGCCGUCACCUACCGCAUCAAACUGUCUGAGCCCACGGCACGUCGGCUGAUAGUGCACGUCAACCGGCUGAAAAGUUGUCAUCAUCGACCGAGUCGGCUCCAGGAGGUUCGCGAGCGAGAUGAGUUGGACCCACCACAGCCCAUGGCAUCCACCCUGACUCCGUCCUACCAGCCUGAUGCCACUGAUACCGCCGCCCGAGACGAGGAGGACACCGUUCGGGUAUUUGGCAGUGCUCCGCCAGUUGGCGUGACGGAAAGGCGAACUCCGCGUUCCCGCCAUCCGCCCCAGCUGUUUUGGAGUCCUGUGUGGCACGAGUAAAGUUAUUUCAGUGGUAUUGACUGGAUUAGUGGUGUUCGAUAUUACAGUUACUCUUUGAACAGAUUUUGAUAAGAACUCCAAUUUUACCUGCACUCGUUUAGUUAAAUUUAGGGCUCAAACGGUUACGGUUUUACCCCUGACGGUUAACUGCUAAGCUAACGGUCGGUUAACCGGUUAUCACCUAUAAGCCACGGCAAUCCUGCGGACUCUUUUUUAUCUGUAUAUUUGACUAUACAUGUACUCAUUCAAAAAAUGUACCCUAUUCAGUACAACGCACACUUGUACAUUAUCUUGCAUGCUCAUUCAUACAUACUCUCACACCAAGAGACCAGAUAUGACCGAGUUGACAGCCCAGAAAUUGCGUACGCGUGCGACAGCCCGCGAAAGUGCACACAUUGCAACGACCUGAUACUUGAAAAAUUGACUGAAAAGUUACUGUGUAACCGUUAUCUUUAUCGGUUAACCGUUAAUUCUACGUAACCGGUCUGCAACCGGUUAAUCGGACUAACCGUUUGAGCCCUAGUUAAAUUGCUAGCCAUAAUCUUAGUCUAAUUUAUAACGUUAAACACGAAGACGUGUUCUUUUCCGUGUAAGCGGGGGGAUAUGUCGUAUCCAUACUAUUGACACGUGCCUUUUAGGCCUCUACGUGACAAGUCUGCCUUUUUUCGGUGUCUAAUUAUUUAUCUAUCUCCCAUAAACGGGUUCAUAAUCGUCUUUAUUUUAUGUCUUCACGCAAGGCCUGGGGCCUUCCUUAUUUGGUAUACACUGUUAUUUCCCCACCUAGCUCCCGCUCUUUAUGCAACAGUUUGUACACAUAUUUACUACGGUUUGAUACGCUAUUGCAUGCGGGACCAGCAAUUUGGUGGCCAUGGACUUCCAUGGCCGCAAUUGGAUAGUAUUGCCAUCACCUUCCUUUUCUCUCUAUCUCUCUUGCCUUGUGCUCUUCAUUAUCUUCUCUUGAACUAAGUUACAUGUACCCUCCUGUGAA